UUUGAUCGACCCGAGCCACAGCGCGGCGUCCUCGCGGCCCUGGCCGUAGGUCGCCAGCAGCGCUUGCGCCUC
rfam:Amycolatopsis orientalis HCCB10007, complete genome.